ensembl:miRNA Mir7-2 microRNA 7-2
GGACAGGCCAGCCCCGUUUGGAAGACUAGUGAUUUUGUUGUUGUGUCUCUGUAUCCAACAACAAGUCCCAGUCUGCCACAUGGUGCUGGUCAUUUCA